GUAAAAUUGAAAUAACACAUCAUUUUUAGGAUAAUAAUUUUACUGUAUUUUCAUAUUUACCUACAAAGCAUGUGCGAAGUGAAAACACUUAAGUAGGUACAAGUUGUAAUUAGAAUCUUAAUUCUAAUGCACAAAGUAAUAUAAAAAAAACAAUGAAGUAUUUACAUUUUCUUAAAUACGCAUCCAGACUUCGAAAUCAUUUUACAAAAGUGUAUCAUCUAAUCCAUCAAGUCCAUUAACGUCCAUCGCCUUGAUAAGGUUUACAGUGCGACUGUA